rnacentral:misc_RNA from 1 species
UUUCCGUAGGUGAACCUGCGGAAGGAUCAUUAUUGUAUAACCGAGGUGCGAGGGCUGUCGCUGACCCGAAAGGUCGUGCACGCCCGAGUGCCCUCACACACAUCCAUCUCACCCCUAUGUGCACCACCGCGUGGGUCCCCCUUUGGCUUGUUCGGAGGGGGGCUUACGUUUUCACACAAACUUUGUAUGCAGUGUAGAAUGUAUUUUUUGUUUUUGCGAUCACGCAAUCAAUACAACUUUCAACAACGGAUCUCUUGGCUCUCGCAUCGAUGAAGAACGCAC